rnacentral:rRNA from 1 species
GACGAACGCUGGCGGCGUGCUUAACACAUGCAAGUCGAACGGAAAGGCCCUGCUUUUGUGUGGUGCUCGAGUGGCGAACGGGUGAGUAACACGUGAGUAACCUGCCCUUGACUUUGGGAUAACUUCAGGAAACUGGGGCUAAUACCGGAUAGGAGCUCCUGCUGCAUGGUGUGGGUUGGAAAGUUUCGGCGGUUGGGGAUGGACUCGCGGCUUAUCAGCUUGUUGGUGGGGUAGUGGCUUACCAAGGCUUUGACGGGUAGCCGGCCUGAGAGGGUGACCGGCCACAUUGGGACUGAGAUACGGCCCAGACUCCUACGGGAGGCAGCAGUGGGGAAUAUUGCACAAUGGGCGGAAGCCUGAUGCAGCAACGCCGCGUGCGGGAUGACGGCCUUCGGGUUGUAAACCGCUUUCGCCUGUGACGAAGCGUGAGUGACGGUAAUGGGUAAAGAAGCACCGGCUAACUACGUG